CCUACGGGGGACAGCAGUGAGGAAUAUUGGUCAAUGGACGAGAGUCUGAACCAGCCAAGUAGCGUGAAGGAUGACUGCCCUAUGGGUUGUAAACUUCUUUUAUAUGGGAAUAAAAUGUUCCACGUGUGGGAUUUUGUAUGUACCAUAUGAAUAAGGAUCGGCUAACUCCGUGCCAGCAGCCGCGGUAAUACGGAGGAUCCGAGCGUUAUCCGGAUUUAUUGGGUUUAAAGGGAGCGUAGGUGGAUUGUUAAGUCAGUUGUGAAAGUUUGCGGCUCAACCGUAAAAGUGCAGUUGAAACUGGCAGUCUUGAGUACAGUAGAGGUGAGCGGAAGUCGUGGUGUAGCGGUGAAAUGCUUAGAUAUCACGAAGAACUCCGAUUGCGAAGGCAGUUCACUGGACUGCAACUGACACUGAGGCUCGAAAGUGUGGGUAUCAAACAGGAUUAGAUACCCGUGUAGUC
rnacentral:rRNA from 1 species